CGCUCUGCGCCCCCGCCGCCCCCCACGCCGCGCCCGCCGCACCCGUGCGAGGCCGGGCCGCGGGGAUACCUCUCUGCCUCUCUGAGAGGACCCGGCGGGCGGGGGCACCAGGCUUCCGCCGCCACCUCCGAGGCCCGCGCCCCGCGCCCCCCAGCGCACGCCCGUCCGCGGCCGUGCAGCCGAGCCCCGCCGAGCAACCGAACCGAGCCGCUCAGCCGAGCCCAGACGAGCAGCCGAGCACCUUCGAGUGCCGCCGAGCCCGAGCCGAGCCCGAGCGAGCGCCACCGGCCGCAGCUACCGUGACAAGUGGUGCUUAUAGCUGUCAAUCAGAGGCAUGGCCCAAUCAGCGCCGCCCGCCUGGACCGCCCCGCCAUUCUCCAAGAGCGCACUGGGCCGCUGGGCCGGGAAAGGCGAGAUUGGGGUGUUGGUGGGGUGGGGGUGAAGUGGAGGCCACGCCAGGACUGGGAGCCACCGGACCGUGCUCUAUCUGCUGGGGGUCUUGUCAUUAAAAGGAAUGCCGGGGCGGUGCAGGCAGCAGGCCUCUGGGAGAAGUCCAUGUGGCCGCCUUGGUCUAGGGGUUUCUUCUUGCACCCCUGGGUUUUGGGAGGAGUUUUCCGCCCCUCGCGAGAGUUUUGUAUAUAAAACUGGGCCGUUGUACCAUGGAAGGGUGCUGCAGGCGGGUUUGGAGUGCUGGUUACCAGGCACAGGUGAUCCCUGCAGGGUGGGGAUGUUAAGUGCUGGCGAGGAUACUGCAUGCGAGCCGGGUUCUGCAGACGGGGUGGAGAUGCUGCUUUUAGGUUGGGGUUCUGCAUACAGCGUGGGUGCUAUGUGUAGGCUAGAGCUCUGAACGCAGGUAGUGUUCUGCAUAUGAGGCGUAAUGCUUCAUGCGGAGCGAGAGAGCUGUGCACUGCAGUACCCAGAGUGCCCUGGAUGUCUUUCUCCACCUGCUGUUUCUGUUCCCGUGAGAAAGGGACAGCAUUUUCGCGGUAUGCCAGUAGACACCAGUAUACUAGGAUCCAUGAAUUCUAGCUGAGGCACUCUGCAGCAGGGCCCUCGUGCCUCCAAGACCUUAGCUGCAGACCUUUCUAUAUUUAAGAUAAGCCAUGAGUCAAUGGGUUUCAUGGUUUCCUGAGAAGCCUCUGAAAAGUGUAUGGCCUUAAGGCGAGUAGUGGAGGCAAUCAGACCUACAGGGACCCUCCUUUUCUUGCAUGAAACCCUUGUAUUUUCUUAAGAUAUGCUGUGGGAGGUGGUGGAAAAGAAGAGAUGGGGGCCAGGCUCAGAACUUUACAGAUGUGGGUUAUACUUCCUGUGUACCUCAAUGGAAGCUGCAUUAGCCAACAAUGUUCCAGGUCAACAAGGUAUGAAAUGUCACCUUCUCCUUCAGCCACCUGCUUGCCCUUGCCCACCCUAAGUGUCACAGUGUGAACUUACAGAGGGGCCCACUUUUUCCAGCACUACCCAGGAAGACCAAUGGAGAGUGAGGACAUUGUGGCCUGUUCAUAUUUCCAAUGUAAGAAAGAACCAACCCUCAGAACAGCUUUCUCUUCAAAGAGCUGGCCUGAUCUUUGGAAGUGGUAGAUUUAGGGCCACUGGGUACUAAGUGUUGUUCUGGAAUGAGCAGCACUGGCCUGCUAAUGGGGACACACAGGCAAUCACAGAGGGUGAGCCUCAGGCUGAUGCUGGCACCACUAGGGGCAGUGGUGAUUUUUCAGCAACACCUGAGAGUAUUUGGGACCUUGGAGUAGAGUAUUCACCCGGAUUUGGCCAGAGGUGAGCAGUAGAAGUAGAACAUGGGCAGGUGAGUGGGAGGGCCAAUGAUCCACAUAAGAAAAGAAAGAUGAUGCCAGGUCCCUGUCUACUGGGGCCCCUCUGGUCACCUGGCCUCCCUGUCUACAUUCCUACCUUUCCAGGGGCCUUAGCAGCAUUUGGUCUGUAGCUAUCUUCAUCUGGUCCCCAAAACUUUUAUCUUCAAGACUGCUUCUCCCUACUUGCAGUCUACCCUCUCUCUGCCUCUUGGUCUCUUUCCCUCUCUCUAGCUGCCCGUUUUUGUGUGUGCAUCUAGCCAACACCAAUCAACAAGCUCUCCAGGGUCAGGUGUAGAGGCUCUUCUCUUGGAUGUGCCCUCCAGGAGCAGCUGUGUCCCUGCGGUACCUACAGCUUUGAAGCCCAAGCAAGCCACAAAGAAUUGAUGAAGAGCGAAACUGUGUCCAAGGCAAUUGAGCAAACACUCUGUAUAGAGUCAUCCCAGCCCACUAGUAACAGCUGAAGGAAGACAGAACGAGUUUAGAGAUGUACAUCAAGGCUUCUCCCACCUCACAUGCCUCCAAAGCAUUCCUCGGCUUCCAGGGAAGAGCAUGAGAGUCAUGGUGAACGCUGAUAAUUAAAGUCAACAUCUCAGCACAUUGAGUCAAUUUCUUGAAAAAAAAAUUUCAAUACCAGGAACCUCCAAUACUAUGGUCCUCUCUUGGUCCUGACCUGACCAUUUUCCAAGUGAUGCAGGAGGGUAAGGAGCUGCCUAUGGUUGUCAUGGCUACAGAGUGUGCAUUGUACUGCCCCAUGUUUGUUCAUACAUCGAGGAAUGUGAAUCCUGUUUCACCCCAGCAAUGUGAUCCUUGGGCCUCCAACUCCUGCUGUGAAGAAGCCACAGGGCCCUGCCUUCCUGACCCCUUCCUCAAGGUCCAGGGUGGGAACCAAGUUGGGCUGUGACUGUAGCCCCACAGCAGCUCUGAGGCUAGGUGUACCUCAGAUGUCAAGCCUUUUGUGAUUGGGUAUAGUAGUGAGGUCUCAUGUAGAAACUUACAGUCCUCCCUCUCAGGUCAGGGCCUCUCCAAAGAGACUGUAGUCCAGGCAGUUAGAAGGGUUAUAAGGUUAUAAGGGCCUUAGAAGACCCCCUUUCAAAGGGCAGCUGUGAGCAUACUCGGGGAGGGUAUCAAUGACCCUGCGGUUCUCCAGGGCUUGAACUUUCCUCUCCACCCUUGUCCACCCUCUGCUCAGUAGUCAUUGUCCCCCACUUCUUCAGUGGUAUCAUUCAGGGAUGAUGGCAGCAGCGAAGCAGCUGAAGGUCUCCCACAUCCUUUGGGGUCCAGCCUUACCACCCUCAUCUUGAGAACAAAGGCCAGGGACUUACUUGCUCAUUGUUGAGGCCACCGUCCCUCCUUGUCCUCCUUAGCCCUGACCCUCUGGGAAGCCUGGGAUCUGCACAGUACCUCCUUGUAUUCAGAGUUCCCUGCCCCUAUAGAUCCCAUAAUCACCACUUGAUCUCUCCCCUUCUCUCUCUGAGUCCCCUACUCUCUGAGCCUUUCCCUAACAUAUACCAGUGUUAGGGUGAAUGCCAAACACACCCUGAGCACCUCCUGAGCAACUGUGUCUAGGACCUUCGCAAAGCCAGGGCCCAGACCCAGGACCGUGGAGGAAUGCUGUUCCCUGGCUUCCCCUAAGGCCCCAUCACAGAACCAGCACCUUCUCCCCUGGAUAGGCACCAGUGCUGGCCAUGACCAGCAGACCUGCCUGGCUAGUGCAGCGCACACAGAGUGAUCACGAAUUUGCACCUGACAGACCUUUGUGCUCUCGUGGCUAUAAGGAGAACAGGUCUCAGGUGGCUUCUCCAGCUGUAGCGCAGGAACAGAGGGACUCUAAACUACACCCUGGAGUCACAGUACUGAGCCACAGUCCAACUGUCCUGCACACCUGCUUCCACUGUAUACAUGCUUGUACUGCCAAGCCUGAGGUUGUCGUUGGCUGAGCCACACUUUGUCUCUGGUGACAGACUAGGGCUCCUGCCACCCCUCCAACCCCAACCUGGUGACCCCAGGCCACAGGCCAGACAAGCACCCAGUGCUCCUUGGCAGCUCUGCCCAUUUCUAUUUCCUACAGCCCAGUUCCCCUCCCGACAGGUCUUUCAGCCCCAAUGUCUAGAAGCAUCAAAAAAGCAACUGACCUGCCUAUGACAAAGACAAAGAGCAGAGCGGAAGGAAAAUUGAGAGCAUUUUAUUUUCAUUAAAACAUAUCGGAUACUAAGAAUGGUGUUUUCCUAAUCACAGCGCUGGGCUGGAAGCCAGGGCAUCUCUGCUGACGUCAGCUGUGUGUGGAGGCAGGCAGGGCCCAACCCACUAUUGGUUGAGAGCUCUCAGAAGUUGCUGGGAGCCGACACUUUCAGUGGCCGCUCCAUUUCCCUGUGAAGCUAGCACGGCCUAGGGUUUGGAGGGUUCAUCCCCCACCUGUGACUGAUGCUGUGACUCCUCUUGAUUGUAGAUUUCUACGUAGCUUGCUAUCCCCCCAUAGUUGAGAGCGGCAGACACUGCUGCGUAUAGUGCCUGCCAGUGACUAGUCAGAGGGGUCCAGGACUACAGCAAGGAGCAGACAUGGGAACAGAGGGCCCCAGCUACCCAUCAUGUGGCUAUAGCCAAGGGCUCCUGGAGCCACAGGAUUCCUGAGCUCCUGGUAGAAUCCCAGGAGACGGAUGUUACUGGCAUCCCACCUCCUCACCCUGCAGAUUCUGUCUCUUGGCAAAAAGCCUGUUGGGGAGGCUGGGCCUAGGGUAUAGCAGCCACUUCACUCCUGUCCUUCCUUGGCUGUGAGACUUGGCCCCUCAUGCCUAUUGGUACCUCAGUUUGCAUAAAAUAGAUGAAUUCACAAGACUCCUCCUCAAGGUUGUGGGGUGUGUAGUGCCAAGGCAAGGAUGUAGAAUGUGAGCUAGGCAACUGUUCUCAUUCGAAAAGAUCCAAAAACAACCACACACACACACACACACACACACACACACACACACACACACACACACACACACACAAAAGACUCUCUUGCUCCAUCCCUGAGCCUGAAAAACAAUCUUUCUUAAAAUCAGAAUCUGGUUUCCUGGACAGCAAGACAGGUCCCAUAAUCAGGAUGAAGUAUGAUUCAGAAUCUCAGUCCUAACUGGCUAGACUGUCCCACCACAGGGGACCUGGAGUGAGGUGUUAUGGAGGACACUGUGGCAGGAAGCAGCCAAUGACUCUUUGUGAGUGGGUGUCCUCAACAACUAGUAGGCCAUGCUGUGAAACAGAUCUCCCAAACAGUGGCACAAAACAACUGUUUGUAACACUCAAGGGUAUGAAAAUCCAACCUAGCAGGCCCAAGCUGGGAGACAAAAGGCUGAGUCUGGAAUCUUCCAGUCACAGGAAAGUGUUUUCGAAUGUUGCACUUUUUUUCUUAAUCAUUUGGCUGGGGUCCUUAUGGAUAGAAAUCGAUGGGCAGGUAAGGAAAAGCUCUUCUAAGUCCCUGGCUCCUGAGUGUCCAAGACCUAGGGUGGGAGGACAAUACCCAAGCUUAUAACUCGAGCCCUGAGAUCUGAGGGUGUACUGUUCCAAGCUUUGGAAACUAGAGACUUAGGGUUCUCUACACAGCCUUAUUACUCUGCACCUUACCCUUCAGUGACCUCAGCACUUGGCAGCUGUGAAAUCCCAAGCUUCCAGCAGUAAUGAGUGUCAGCAGUGGGCUGAGGAGGCAGGAGACCUAAUGUUAACCUUCCUAAAUGGCCUGCAGGUAACCCCAAGCUGUUUCAGUGACUGAUGUUACAGAUGUCAGUCCCAAAAUGUCAGCUCCUUCACCCUUGAUUGCAGCUGGAGUUACAGCUGUCAGACCAAGGGGGUCUGAGGCCCUUGACCCUACAGCUUAGCAGCUCCCUGGAACUUUUUUUCUGGCAAGACUGUAGUUUCUUAUCUUUAGCAUCUGCCUGCCUGCCUGCCUUCUUUCCUUCUUUCCUUUCUUCCUUCCUUCUUUCCUUUCUUCCUUCCUUCUUUCCUUUCUUCCUUCCUUCCUUCCUUCUUUGUUUUGGAUUGGAUUAUUUUGUUUGUUUUCUGAGACAGGGUUUCUCUGUGUAGGCCUGGCUAUCCUGGAACUCUCUCUGUAGACCAGGCUGGCCUCAAACUCACAGAGAUCUACUUGCCUCUGCCUCCUGAGUGCUGGGAUUAAAGGCGUGUACCUCCACCGCCCGGCCUACCUUUCUUUUAAAAUAAGUUUUAGGGGCUGGAGAGAUGGCUCAGAAGUGAAGAGCACUUGCUGCUCUUACAGAGGACCUGGGUUCAUUUCCCAGCACCCACAUUGGGCAGUGCACAGCUGCCUGUAACUUCAGUUCUAGGGGACCUGAUGCACUCUUCUGGCCUCCAUGGAAACCUGCUGCACACUAGGCACAAACUUACAUUCACGCAUACACACAUAUACAUAAAAGAAUAACAUAAACCUUUAGCCAGGCACACUUUUAAUCCCAUCAUUUGGGAGGCAGAGGCAGGCAAAUCUCUGUGAGUUCAAGGCCAGCAGGAUCUACAAAGUGAGGUCCAGGACAGCCAGGGCUGUUACACAGAGAAACCCUGUCCCCUGUCUCAAAAAACAACCGAGAGAGAGAGAGAGAGAGAGAGAGAGAGAGAGAGAGAGAGAGAGAGAGAGAAGGAGGAGGAGGAAGAAAGGAAGGAAGAAAGAAAGAAAGAGAGAAAGAGAAACCUUUAAAGAUUUUUACAUUUUUUGCAUGCGCGUGCUGGAGUGUGUGUGUCACAGCAUGCAUGUGGAAAUUAGAAGACAACUCUUAGGAGUCAGUUGCUCCUUCCACCACGUGGGUCCCAAGGAUCAAACCCAGGUUGUUAAGUUUGGCAACCUUUACCUGCUGAACCAACUCAGCUUAUGCUUUAUACGCUCCCCCCUUCUCUCCCUCCCUCCCUCCCUUCCUUCCUCCCUCCCUCCCUUCCUUCCUCCCUCCGCUUCCCCCCUUCACUUCUGCCAUGCCUUGUCUUUGCUGCCUCUGCCCCCCAUCAUUUGUUCUGCAGCCACUCUUUGGAACCCCUCAGCCACCUCGCUUCUGUCUGCCACCACCAUCACUCCCACUCCCAGGAUGACUGCUGCCACCAUUUCAAAUGGCACUGCCAUUUUACCCUCACGUUACCAGAAUCGCCAACUCCACCAAUGAUAAAGAUCAAAAGUUAGCAUGAAAAGUGUUCUCCAGUGACACAUUAUAUUAUGUCUGUGCUGGUUAGCUUUUGUCCCGUUGGCAUGGGCUAGGGGCAUCUAUGUCCUAGAUCCUAGGAAGAGCUAACAUCAAUUGAAGAAUUGCCUCCAUCCGAUUGGCAGAUUAGGUGAGUCUGUGGGGCAUUUCCUGGUUAAUGAUUGACGUGGGAAGGCCCAGAUCAUUGCAGGCGGUGCCACCCUCGUACAAGUGAUGCUGGGUUGUAUAAGAAAGCAAGCUGAGCAAGCCAUGGGGAGCAAGCCAGUAGGCAAUGUUCCUCCAUGGCCUCUGCUUCAGUUCCUGCCUCCAGAGUCCUGCCUUGAGUUCCUUCCCAGAUUCUCUCAACCAUGGAAUGUAGCCUGAAAAGGGAAAUAAACCUCUUUGUCCCCCAAGUUGCUUUUGGUCAUGUUUUUUAUCACAGCAAUAGAACGCACACUAGUGUGGUGCCUGAUGUUGCAAAACCAGGAGGCAGCGCUAGAGGAUGUCUCCUACCAGACUAGAGAAGCGAACCAAACAUCUGGC